rnacentral:rRNA from 1 species
UACGAAGGGGGGCUAGCGUUGUUCGGAAUUACUGGGCGUAAAGCGCACGUAGGCGGAUCGAUCAGUCAGGGGUGAAAUCCCAGAGCUCAACUCUGGAACUGCCUUUGAUACUGUCGAUCUAGAGUAUGGAAGAGGUGAGUGGAAUUCCGAGUGUAGAGGUGAAAUUCGUAGAUAUUCGGAGGAACACCAGUGGCGAAGGCGGCUCACUGGUCCAUUACUGACGCUGAGGUGCGAAAGCGUGGGGAGCAAACAGGG